rnacentral:rRNA from 1 species
UAUACAGCGAAACUGCGAAUGGCUCAUUAUAUAAGUUAUCGUUUAUUUGAUAGUGCCUUACUACUUGGAUAACCGUGGUAAUUCUAGAGCUAAUACAUGCUAAAAACCCCGACUUCGGAAGGGGUGUAUUUAUUAGAUACAAAACCAAUGCCCUUCGGGGCUCUUUGGUGAUUCAUGAUAACUAUACGAAUCGCACGGCCUUGCGCCGGCGAUGGUUCAUUCAAAUUUCUUCCCUAUCAACUUUCGAUGUUUGGGUAUUGGCCAAACAUGGUUGCAACGGGUAACGGAGGGUUAGGGCUCGACCCCGGAGAAGGAGCCUGAGAAACGGCUACUACAUCCAAGGAAGGCAGCAGGCGCGCAAAUUACCCAAUCUCGACUCGGGGAGGUAGUGACAAUAAAUACUGAUACAGGGCCCUUUCGGGCCUUGUAAUUGGAAUGAGUACAAUUUAAAUCCCUUAACGAGGAACAAUUGGAGGGCAAGUCUGGUGCCAGCAGCCGCGGUAAUUCCAGCUCCAAUAGCGUAUAU